GAUCAUGACCUGAGCCGAAGGCAGACACUUAACCGACUGAGCCACCCAGGCGCCCCCAACUCAUGCUUUUUAAUUUCCACUUUUAUUUAAAAACUGUUCACCUCUGACUACUUGAGUCUAGGCCUUGCGUAGGACACUGGGGACAUGGAUGUACUAGGGAAAACCACAGUCUAGUCCACCAGAGUCUAGCAGAAGGAGACAGACAAGGAAGGAGGCAAGAGGCUAUAUUUAAGCACCCACAGGUAUCAUGGAAGCAAGGAGCUGGUGACAGUCAACUCUGCCACAGAGGAUGAUGGAGAGUUCCUCCAAGGUGGUUAGGCUUUGGAGGAUGACCUAGAUCUUUCCAGGUGAUGGAAUCAAGUGUCCUGUUAGAAGCAAUGUCAUGAACUAACACCUGGAGGCAUUCAGCACAACAAUCAGGACAGGUGUUUCUGUCAUUGUGUGUUGUAAGAUCCUGAACCACAACUAAUAGGGCUAAUGAAAAAGCUAGGUUGAGAAAGACCCCUCAAAACCUGUGGGACUUUGUAACUGGAACACUAGCCCAAACCAUAAUGAUCCUGAUGAAAAUCCCUCCCCGGUUAAACCUCCACCAUCAUGGGUACCUCUCAUCACAGCCGGUCAAUGCUUGGCAGCCUCAAGGAAGUUUCUGAUCCUUCCUUCAAGAGGUGUACUGCUACCAAGUCUCCUUGAUAUUCUUCUGUACAUUGGGGGCAGUGCUGGGAGGACAGGCCUCUGGGGAAAUGGCCCUGCCUGGAACAUUGGCUUUGCCCUCCCUGGCCUCCGGUGAGGACCAGAAUUCCACUGGCAAGGAGAUGUCUCCUCUCCUUGGUCCAAGGAAGGUGUUCAGCCACGGCGAAUGGAGGACAAAGAAGGCUCCUUUCCUAGCCACUUGGGUCCACAUGUACACUUAACCACAGCUGCUCGCUGCGGCAGACUGGAAACCGCCAGAAAUUUCCUCACCGAGGCCAAUGGGUCUGACAGGCCUGCAUCCCUCCCCUGAAGGUCACAAAGGAUGUGUGAGCAGCUGACCAGGGGCAAGCAGUGUUCCAGAGACUGGCUGUUCCCUUCUUCUGGGCCCAGGAGGAAAGAUCACAGCAGUAGUCUACACCUGACCCAUGACGGACCUGUGGCAUGAGCAAGAAGUAAACCCUGUAGGGGCACCUGGGGAAGCGCAGUCAGUUGAGCGUCCGACUCUUGACCUCAGCUCAGGUCUUGAUCUCAGGGUCCUGACUUCAAGCCCCCCGUCUGGUUCCGUGCUGGGCAUGGAGCCUACUUAAAAAAAAAAAAUAAAGAAAGAAAAGUAAACUGUUGCUGUAAACCCUUGAGGUUUGGGGAUUGCUGCUGGAGGAUCAGCUCCGCUAUCCUGGCUGAUAUAACAAAGCCCCUGGAAAUCGUGGUGCUAUCUGUAGAGCGCUGUGAAAAGUGCGUAUCUUUAAUUUCUUACAUAAACUAGAAUUGUAAUGAACAACACUGAACAUCACUUAGUGAGCACUUACUAGGUUCCAUGGCAAAUGUCUCAUGAAUCCCCACCAUAGCCCUAGAAUGCAGUACCGUUGGCCUGUUGAGUAUUAGUCUCGUCGUAGAGAUCAAGGGACCCGGACUCUUGACUGAAGGUCAAGACCAUAGCUAUAAGUGGGAGAAUUGAGAUGAAAUGCAGGGUCCUCUGACCCCAUAACCCUCAGUCUUUCCACCAUAUAUAUGUGGAAAGUAUAUAAAGUAUAUAUAUAAAGCAGACUAGUCCUAUCAAGAAAAAAAAA